rnacentral:rRNA from 1 species
AACGAACGCUGGCGGCAUGCUUAACACAUGCAAGUUGAACGCAGAAUAGGUCUUCGGAUCUAUUGCUGAGUAGCAAACGGGUGAGUAACGCGUGGGAAUCUACCUUUUUGUGGGGGAUAACUGAGGGAAACUUCAGCUAAUACCGCAUAAGCUCUACGGAGGAAAGGCUCUAUAAGUUUCAGUAAUCAGACGACAAAGCUAAGAAGGCUUAAAUAAGCUCAUUUAGANCAUAGAAAUGGUUUAUAGUGAAGUUCAAAUUUAAGUUGAGUGCUUAGUGUUUUGUCUUUUGAUUUCUGAAACUUGUGAGUCGCGAGAAGAGGAGCCCGNGUCAGAUUAGGUAGUGGUAGGGUAAGCCUACCAAGCCAAUGAUCUGUAGCUGGUCUGAGAGGAUGAU